rnacentral:rRNA from 1 species
GUGUUGAUUACGACGAGGGUCCACCUGUUCCCAUUCCGAACACAGAAGUUAAGCUCGCUUGUGCCGACGAUACUUGGCUGGAGACGGCCCGGGACAAUAGGUUGAUGCC